rnacentral:rRNA from 1 species
UACGGGGGGAGCAAGCGUUGUUCGGAUUUACUGGGCGUAAAGGGCGCGCAGGCGGCUGCUCAAGUCAGGCGUGAAAGGCCUGGGCUCAACCCGGGAAUUGCGCUUGAGACUGGGCUGGCUUGAGUGCGGGAGAGGAUGGUGGAAUUCCCAGUGUAGAGGUGAAAUUCGUAGAUAUUGGGAAGAACACCGGUGGCGAAGGCGGCCAUCUGGACCGCAACUGACGCUGAGGCGCGAAAGCGUGGGGAGCGAACAGG